GCCGAGAUAGUUUAACGGCAAAACGCCUCCGUGGUAAGGAGGAAAUCCGGGUUCAACUCCUGGUCUCGGCU
rnacentral:tRNA from 1 species